rnacentral:rRNA from 2 species
UGAAAAGAACUUUGAAAAGAGAGUGAAAAAGUAC